rnacentral:rRNA from 1 species
UACGAGGGGGGCAAGCGUUGUUCGGAUUUAUUGGGCGUAAAGGGUGCGUAGGCGGUUUGGCAAGUCUUGUGUGAAAUCUUUGGGCUCAACCCAAAGCCUGCAUAAGAAACUGCCGGGCUUGAGUAUGGGAGAGGUGAGUGGAAUUUCCGGUGUAGCGGUGAAAUGCGUAGAUAUCGGAAGGAACACCUGUGGCGAAAGCGGCUCACUGGACCAUUACUGACGCUGAGGCACGAAAGCGUGGGGAGCGAACAGG